rnacentral:rRNA from 1 species
UACGUAGGGAGCAAGCGUUGUCCGGAAUCAUUGGGCGUAAAGAGCGCGUAGGCGGCCCUGUAAGUCCGUUCUGAAAGUCGGAGGCUCAACCUCCGAAAGCGGAUGGAUACUGCAGGGCUAGAGUCCGGAAGAGGCGAGUGGAAUUCCUGGUGUAGCGGUGGAAUGCGCAGAUAUCAGGAGGAACACCAAUAGCGAAGGCAGCUCGCUGGGACGGUAUUGACGCUAAGGCGCGAAAAGCGUGGGGGAGCGAACAGG